UGGGGAAUAUUUGACAAUGGGCGCAAGCCUGAUCCAGCCAUGCCGCGUGAGUGAUGAAGGCCCUAGGGUUGUAAAGCUCUUUCACCGGUGAAGAUAAUGACGGUAACCGGAGAAGAAGCCCCGGCUAACUUCGUGCCAGCAGCCGCGGUAAUACGAAGGGGGCUAGCGUUGUUCGGAUUUACUGGGCGUAAAGCGCACGUAGGCGGACUAUUAAGUCAGGGGUGAAAUCCCGGGGCUCAACCCCGGAACUGCCUUUGAUACUGGUAGUCUUGAGUUCGAGAGAGGUGAGUGGAAUUCCGAGUGUAGAGGUGAAAUUCGUAGAUAUUCGGAGGAACACCAGUGGCGAAGGCGGCUCACUGGCUCGAUACUGACGCUGGGGUGCGAAAGCGUGGGGAGCAAACAGG
rnacentral:rRNA from 1 species